AAUCCAGCAUUCAUUGUUCAGUUUGUAUAGUUGCUUCAAUGUCUUUAAUAUUUUCUGACAACUCCUCUUAUUCUCUUUCACUCCCAAUAGUGUUAUUCACUCUUUCGUUUCAAUUAAUUUUCUCCUUUUUUUACCUGUUUUUCUAAUUUUUUAGUGAAUUUCAAAUUUUGAAUUUAACUGCCAUACAUCAUACGAAUCACUCUUAUUUAUAACCCCUUAAUUUUAUUAUUCACUGCAGUUUUGUGGUUGCUCCUCCAUUUUCUUAUUUUUCAAUUCGUUAUCGUGGUGGUGAUGGAGGGCGUUGUAAACAGGUAGUAUAUUUGGAACAUUUGGAAGAUUCUCCAGUAAGCUUCUCGCGUGGUUACAGUUGUUACGCUUGGUGAAGAGCAUGGUGGUGGAUACAGGAGAGGAGGCAAUAGUGGUGGUGCUUGCUACAACUGCGGUGGCAUGGGUCACAUGGCCACGGAGGAGAAGUUGCAUUUCGACUGCAAUGUGAGGAAUCCAACAUGGACGUCGGUUAUGUAUAGGGUCUUCAUAUGCAUCAUUUGCUCCGCUGUUCAUAGCAUCUUCGAAGUGCAUAUUAGCUUCCUCAGGAAGGUUUCUUUGCUGAUUGUUUAAAUUGUGAUGAUUUCAUGAUAAGUUUUUUCGUGGAUGUUGGCAUUAGAAAUCUGGUAAGACAAGUUAAACAGCUUGCUCUUCUUGCUUGACACACUGGUAAGUAAGUGGAAUGCAUUUCAACUGUCUUGAAGAGGAGGGCAUGAGGGUUGGGUUCUUUAAGAUGUUAUAUAUGCAAUGUUUGUUCAUCUGAGCUCUGCCUCUACCAUUCAGUCAUCAUUUAUUUAUGUCGUUCUUCUGGCGCUUGCUACAGCUGUGGUGGGGAUGAGCCAUAUGGCCAGGGAUUGCAACCAAGGAGGACGCAGAUGUGGAGGCAUGCACGGCGAUGGUGGUGGCAGUGGAUCCGCUAACAACUAUGGGGAAUCUAGGCAUUUUACAAGGGACUUCUAAACAAGCUCUUUGAAAACAAGAUGUGUUUCGAUUGCAAUGUGAAGAAUCCAACAUGAGCGUCUGUUACGUAUGGCUUCUUCAUAUGCAUCGAUUGCUCCGCUGUUCAUCGCAGUCUAAGAGUGCAUAUCAGCUUUUGGGUACAUUCCUCUCUCUUAAAUUCACGGUUUUCUUUCCAUUUUUGUAACUGGUUUACUUCAAAUCUGGACCUUUUUUUUUUUUGUUUUGUUUUUCUUUUUGCCUCAUGUUAUAUGAAUUCAUGUUCAUAAUACUGAGAAAACUCGAGUUUUUAGCUUCUCAAAUUUGUUGUUAAAGUAUUUUUUAGAAGGAAAAUGGAUGGGUGGAUGAGAGUGUCAUUUUGAAGCAUAGCAACUUGGAACAUUUUUCUGGCUUUAUCACUCUGCAGGCUUCCUUCCUCACGAACACCUUUUUAAUUUAUUUUUAUUUUUAAAUAACUUUGGCUAAAAUUGAUCAGAGCAGUGAACUAUUUGUGUUUGAACAUUAGCUCCUGAGGCAUUGAUAUGAACAGAAAGCUUUCAGCUUAUUUUGUCUUAGUUAGGUAUUUUUUUCAACCGCUGAUGUGUGCAUGUGCCUUUGAAGUAUAUGCAUACUUCUAGAAUUUUUAUGUUUAAAUUUUAGUAGAAAUUAUUGUCAUAAAGGAUGCAUUUAUUUGUGAUUUUGGGGUGCAGAAAGUACCUUUCUUUUUUUCACAAUUUUAGUAUUAUUUAAUAUGUGAUUGUGGUAUAGAUGUUGUGGAUGCAUGCAACUUUGGAUGUGAACAUUUGAAAAUGUUACUGUAUCUUAAAUACUAUGCAAUGUGCAUUUUCUGACUGAACCCGUGAAAUUCAAAUUUCAUAUGGACUUUUCUCUUAUAUGGUACAAAUGGGGAUGGAUUUGCAAUUAGCAAAGCAGUAGAUAAAAUUAAAGGCAUUCAUGGUAAGUUGCUAAAUGAAGCUGAGGUGGUAGCAGCUAUUGAAGAGAAAGAAACUCAUGCUUUUGAAAUUAAUCAUUCUCAGCUUGAGUUUACAUCAAUUGGUGAAAAAGACAUCUUUGAUGAAUAAGGUAUUCUUUGGUAUUUGAUUGUCUUCAAAAUUAUUUAUCUUUAUUGAUUCUUAUUGUAUUUUUUUGUGAUUUAUUUUUGUAUAGUUUAACGGUAUACCAAAGAGCUACAAAUUCUUAUAUUUUCCUAAUAAAUAUAAUUUAAAAAUGUGAAUAAUAAGUUUAGCAAUUAGUACAAAGAAACUAUUGGGCAGAUUUUUUAUCAAAGGAGGUGCAAUAAGAACAUAGGAUUUUCACCUUACAAGUUUGUGAUUGGUAAUUAGUUGUACUCUUAUUUCUUUUUCCUUUUUUGGUGCUUCUGUGUGUGUUUGAGCAUAUCUAUAUGCAUCGACUGGAUAAUUAGGAAAUGUUAUGAAUUUUGGAGAUUUAGUUGACCAUUGAUAGAAAAAUGUUAUGUGUUGGAUUAUCAUAUGACCAUUUGUAUUUAGAUCCUCUUUAUUAGGUUUUGUGCAUUGUGCAUCCAGUUUUUUUUUAAAAAAAAAUAACCAUUUAUGUUUUUAAAAUAAUUUAGGAUUAAGAAGUUCUUGAAAGACUUGCUCAUGUGAUUGAUAAAUUUGAUAUCAUUCAGUAGUUGAGCAAUUAAGUGGACAAGAAGAUUCUAUAUAUCUAUGUGUUCUUUUUUAUUUGUUUUUGAAAGAGUUGUGUGCUAAUUUUGAUUUGUCUAUAUAUUGUAUUUUUAAUUUUUUUUAUUUGAGGGAUAUAAUUUUGGCUUUAAAGAUUUUUUAUUAUCAUAUUAAAUUAGUUUAUAACAAUUUAUAGAAAUCAAAAUUUUGCACCAUCUGUUUUUUUGGAUAACAGGUUUGGUUUCGUAGCACAAUUUUUUUUUUUUUUGCAAUUUUGGUUUAGUAGCACUUGCCUUUUUCAGAUUUCGAUGGAGGGAAGAAGUAAUCUUCAAUGCUUUUAAAUAAUUUACUAUACAAGUGAUACAAUUGGUAUCCCGAAAGAGUAAUUUGAGAGGCUUCUCAACUUCAAUCCAUUAAGAAGUAGUCUAUAUAUACAAAUUAAAAUU